UACUGCUAUCAGUGUUCGAUUAAGCCAUGCGAGUUAAAUGUUCUUCGUGAACAUGGCGUACUGCUCAGUAACACGUGGAUAACCUGCCCUAAGGUCCGGCAUAACCCCGGGAAACUGGGGAUAAUACCGGAUAAACCAUAGAUACUGGAAUGUUCUGUGGUUAAAAGUUCCGGCGCCUUAGGAUGGAUCUGCGGCCUAUCAGGUAGUAGUGGGUGUAAAGUACCUACUAGCCGACGACGGGUACGGGUUGGGAGAGCAAGAGCCCGGAGAUGGAUUCUGAGACAUGAAUCCAGGCCCUACGGGGCGCAGCAGGCGCGAAAUCUUUACAAUGCGGGAAACCGCGAUAAGGGGACACUGAGUGCCAGCAUAUUAUGUUGGCUGUCCGCCUGUAUAAAUCACAGGUGUUAGCAAGGGCCGGGCAAGACCGGUGCCAGCCGCCGCGGUAACACCGGCGGCCCGAGUGGUAGCCACUAUUAUUGGGUCUAAAGGGUCCGUAGCCGGUUUGAUCAGUCUUCCGGGAAAUCUGACAGCUCAACUGUUAGGCUUCCGGGAGAUACUGUCA
rnacentral:rRNA from 1 species